CCUCCCGAGUCACAGGGUCUUAGCAGUGGAGAAGCCCACGGAGACUCGUCCUCUGCCUCUCCUCAGUCCUGAGCAUGGAAACACAGAGAGAGGCACAGGCCAUUUUGAGUAAAGGCUUUGGAAGCAAGGCUCCUCGUAUAGGGGGCAUGUCUGAGUAGCAAUGAAGAAUGUGUGGAAUUCUGACAUGGAGGAAUGUUUGGAGGAGGGUGCAGUGCCAACUGGUGCCUGCCAAGGCCCUGCGACCCCCUUCCGGGACGCUCAGAUGUUUGCCUGCAAUCCCUCAAAAAAACCCAAAGUGCACCCUUUCUUGAUGUGUGUUUGCCUUAGCAGAAUUAGCAGUCCUGGGAAGUGGCUAACCUCACAAGAGCUCAGGCUGACUUGUCUCAGCCCACGGUUCCUCCUUAUCGGAGUCAUAAAUCCCACUUCUCAGCCCAUGUCUCCAUCUUAUUGGAGUCGUGAAUCCAACUAUCUUCCCAUUUACUAAAGUCCCUUACCUCUCUUGUAACCAAGCAAAAAUCUGCUCCCCUAUCCGUUUGUGUGCACAGCCCCUUCCUCAGUAAAAGACCCUGCACAUCCACCCUUGGUGCUCACACAGGCACCUCUUGUCUGCAUGGCCUGCUGUUUCCUGUAGCAGCGAAUCUAUCAAACUUUUUCCGUAUGUCGUAAACUUUCUUUGUUUCUGGUAAAUUCUUUUACUGUCUGCAACACUGGCUCACUGCGUCCCCUAAUAGACGGAUCCCAGUGGAGCAGCAUGUCGAGGACAAGACAGCAUAAAUACAUGGCUUUUGGGGGGAACAUCAGGUCCCCAGAUUAUGCUGAAACAUACAGUAGCACAUGCUAGACCAGGGGAGGCUUAGGACUAGAGGGACAGGGUCAGCCAAUCAGGAGAGUUUCCAUUGUACUUUGUGGGCAAUGGUGGCCAAUGGAUGGGUGAGGUGAGAGGCAUCUGGGUUUAUUGGCCCCAGUGCUUUCAUGCUGGGUUUCAGAUCUCAAGUCAAAGUUUCAUGGGUUUUUGAUACCCAUUAUGAUGGCAAACAUAGGAAAGAAGGAAGGAAGGAAGGAAAGAAGGAAGGAAGGAAGGAAGGAACAUAGGAAGGAAGGAAGAAAGGAAGGAAGGUUAAAAAAGGAAAACAAGUGCUGGCAGGAUGCAGAGAAAUAGGAACACUUGUGCAUUUUCGAUGGGAAUAUAAAAUGGUACAGCCACUAUGGAAAAUAGUCCAGAGGUCCCUCAAAUAAUUUAACAGAAUUGUGAUAAUCAAUCAAGUUCGCCUCUCAGUAUAUAUGCAAAAGAAUUGAAAGCAAGGUCUCAGAUACAUCCUUGCAUGCCCCUGUUCAUAGCAGUAUUAUUCACAAUUGCCAAGAGGUUGAAGCAACCCAAGUGUCUACUGACAGAUAAAUGGAUAAACAAAAUGCAGUACAUACAUAUAAUGGAAUAUUAUUAAUAUUUGGCCUUAUAACUUAAGAAAACUAUGUCACAUGCUACAACAUAGAUGACACUUGAGGACAGACAUUACACUAACUGAAAUAAACCAGUCACAAAAAAACAAAUACUGUAUGAUACCACUUAUAUAAGAUAUCUAGGGUAGUUACUUUGAUAAAAACAGACAGUGGAAUGGUGGUUGCCACGGGUUAAGGGUUGGAAGAAUAUAAUAUGCAAUAAAAUAUAAGAUAUCAAAAUGACAGCAAGCUGAUCAUAACUGGAAACGUAGCAUUGUUAUGUUGAGUACAGUUUCUUUGGGUGGCAAAACCUAGGGUAGCUAAUAAUAAUAGUGGUAAUAAAAAAAAAGUAGCAAUAUUUUUUGAUUGCUCACUAUGGUCAGAAAAUGUGCAAACAUAAUUUAUCAUUUUAAAUCUUUGCUACAAAUCUAUAAGCUACUACACUUUCCUUUUCUACCGUGGAGUCAACUAACGUGAAGAAGUAAGAAAUUCUCUCAAUCUUGCCACUCGGAAGCCGGUAGACCUUCCUCAGGCACUGAUGAUCAUUUAAUGACGAUACCAAAUGGCUACAAGGAUGUACGACAACUGGAAUCUCAUUCAUUGCCUGUGGGGACACAGAAUGGUACAGCCACUUGGGAAGACAGUCUGUUAGUUUCUUACAAAACCUAAACAUACUGUUACGAUACGAUCCAGCAAUUGUGCUCCUUGGGAUUUCCACAAAGAAGCUGAAAACUCACAUCUACACAAAGCUUUGCACGUGAUGCUUAUAGCAGCUUUAUUCAAAAUUCCUGAGACUUGGGAACUUUCAAGAUGUCCCUCAGUAGGUGACUGGAUGAAGAAACUGAGGUAUUUGGAAACAAUGGAACAUAGCUGUAACACUCAGUGGAAUUCAGCUCUUUACGAAAUGAGCUGGAAGUCAUGAGAGGACACGGAGAAAACUUAAGUGCAUGUUACUAAGGGAAAGAAGUCAACCUGAGAGCUGCAUACUAUGAUUCCAGGUAUAAACGAUCCUGGAAAAGUUAAAAUUAUGGGGACAUUAAGAGAUCAGUGCUUUCCAUGGGUGAGGAGGAAAGAGGGAUGAACAGGCAGAGCACAGAAGGUUUUCAGGGGUGACAUAUCCUGUAUGACAAUUUCACACGGGAUACAAAUCAUUAAAUAUCUGUCCAAACUCAUGGAAUGUACAACAUUAGAGUGAACCCUAAUGCAAGUGAUUGGCUUGGGUGAUAAUGAUGUGUCAGUAGAGGUCCGUCUGCCAAGUGUAAUAAACGUCGCAUCAGGUGUGGGAUGUUGACAGUGGGGGAGGCUGUGCAUGGAUGAGGUAAGGGGUAACUGGAACUCUGUACUCUCUGCUCAAUGUUUCUGUGAACUCAAACUUCUCUAAAAAAGUAAAGACAAUGGGAAAAAAUAGGGAAACAUCUUGUUAAAAACAUUCUCUUCAAACAAGGGAGAAAGAUGAAAAAUAUACAUGAAUGAAUGAGUCAGUGUAUAGAUAGUUGAUCACCUAUCAGGGAAAUCUAACAUAACCUACUGAAAAAAAGUCAAGUAGAGCUGAUAAAGGUUCAUUAAGUAGCUGCAUAUAAAAUGAACAUAUAAACAUCUUGCUUUCCUAUAAACCUACUGUACCAUUAUAUGAAAUAACGAAAAUAUCACACUAUUAGCAACAGGAAGAUGGCAGCAAUGAAAAUAUAUUGAAAUAGACUUGGGGGGAGGAUAUAGCUCAGUGGUAGAGUGUGUGCCUAUGCACGAGGUCCUGGGUUCAAUCCCCAGAACCUCUGUUAAAAAAAAAAUCUAUAUAUAGAUAUAGAUAUAGAUAUAGAUAUAGAUAUAGAUAUAGAUAUAGAUAUAGAUGUACCUAAUUACCUUCCCCCCCAAAAGAAAUCUACAUAAAUGGAAAUAGGAAAACCUCUAGUGAUAAAAUCAUGAAACUUUGCUCACAGAUAUAAGAAUGUAUCGAAAUAAAAGAUGGAGGGUACACAUCUUGUUCCUGAAGGAAAUCCUAGAAAAUUUAAAGAAGUCAACUCUUGUCAAAUGAUUCUUCAAAUUCAAUCAAGCCACACGCCAGAAUCCUAAGUGGUUAGUUUAACACUGGUUUGAAUUCUGAGGUGCUGCUUGUAUCUUUCAAAAUUAGAAUAUAUUCAUUUUUUGAGUAGUGGGAGGAGCCCGACUUUGGUCCCAGCCUACCUGAGUUCAAGCCCACCUCUAACACUUUCUACUUGUAGGGACAUCCGCUCACCCUCCCAGCCUCAUUUUUCCCAUCUGUAAAAUAAGGGUGCGUACUUUAUACAAUUUGGCUUAGGAUAAAUAAUUAAUACAGGCACAAAUAUUCAGCACAGUGUCUGCCAGUAAUUAUCAGCCAUUACACUUACGUAACAAAAAGGAAAAAAAUGUAAAUACCAAGUCAAACAAACUAAAUCACUGCAUUCCCAAUGCAAAUAUUAAACUGACUCUACCUGACUCUACCAACAAGGAAUGUCAACUUAUCCAAAUGCUAAUAAAGUGUGCUUCAGAUACUGGUUCUCGUUGCACUGGGAUUUCUCUCAGUUAAGAUGAGAUCAGUACAUUUCAA